UGAGGAACAUGACCUUCGGCGGGGGAUAGCCGGCCCAACGGCCGGGUAAUACCGCGUACGACCACAUGGGGACAUCCCUGAGUGGUGAAAGCAGCAAUGCGCCGAUGGAGUGCCUCGCGGCCUAUCAGCUAGUUGGUGAGGUAACGGCUCACCAAGGCGACGACGGGUAGCUGGUCUGAGAGGAUGGCCAGCCACAUUGGGACUGAGACACCGGCCCAGACCUGUACCGGGGAGG
rnacentral:rRNA from 1 species